CCACAUCACAUUAAAACAUUGUUUCCCAUUUGAUCACCAAAGUUAAGCAACGUCUCACCAGGUCAGUACCUAGAUGGGUGACUGCUUGAGAAUAACAGGUGCC